CAUAGAAUGGGGGAGGUCACACAACAUUUUUUACUCCCCCACCCGCGUAUAUACCCGAGUGUAGCUAAAUACAACAACUCGAAGGCAAAUCUGCAAUAAACAGAACGAGGGAUACUGCAGUCCCGUGUACCAGUAAGACGCAAUGCUGAAGACUCCGUCGCCAGCUGAUAAUUAUCUAUGUUUCGUGGGGCAGCAGCUCCCUCUCAUUCAUACUGCGGAACUCACCUGCGCAUUCCUCCAGGAUCUGCACUGUCUCCCCGAUCUCCAACGGUAACCCAUACCGCGUCUCUCCCCGCCAGUUGUACACGGCUGCAAAAAGGAAGAGCAACUGGAACCGUGUCCAAGUCACUCGAAAAAUAUUUGGCCAACAUCCCCC